rnacentral:rRNA from 1 species
UACGAAGGGGGCUAGCGUUGCUCGGAAUCACUGGGCGUAAAGGGUGCGUAGGCGGGUCUUUAAGUCAGGGGUGAAAUCCUGGAGCUCAACUCCAGAACUGCCUUUGAUACUGAGGAUCUUGAGUUCGGGAGAGGUGAGUGGAACUGCGAGUAUAGAGGUGAAAUUCGUAGAUAUUCGCAAGAACACCAGUGGCGAAGGCGGCUCACUGGCCCGAUACUGACGCUGAGGCACGAAAGCGUGGGGAGCAAACAGG